CGAACGCUGGGGGCGUGCUUAACACAUGCAAGUCGAACGGAAAGGCCUGCUUUCCCUUGUGGAUUGCGGGUACUCGAGUGGCGAACGGGUGAGUAACACGUGAGUGAUCUGCCCCCAACUUGGGUAUAAGCCUGGGAAACUGGGUCUAAUUCCCGAUAGGACUGCAGGGUGGUGCCUGUGGUGGAAAACGAUUUUCUAGUGGUUGGGGAUGAGCUCGCGGCCUAUCAGCUUGUUGGUGGGGUAAUGGCCUACCAAGGCGGCGACGGGUAGCCGGCCUGAGAGGGUGGACGGCCACAUUGGGACUGAGAUACGGCCCAGACUCCUACGGGAGGCAGCAGUGGGGAAUAUUGCACAAUGGGCGGAAGCCUGAUGCAGCGACGCCGCGUGGGGGAUGACGGCCUUCGGGUUGUAAACUCCUUUCGACCGCGAGGAAGCCACCUGGUUGGAAGGGUGGUGACGGUAGUGGUAGAAGAAGCACCGGCUAACUACGUG
rnacentral:rRNA from 1 species